rnacentral:rRNA from 1 species
CCUACGGGAGGCAGCAGUGAGGAAUAUUGGUCAAUGGCCGCAAGGCUGAACCAGCCAAGUAGCGUGCAGGAUGACGGCCCUAUGGGUUGUAAACUGCUUUUGCGGGGGAAUAAAGUGAGGGACGCGUCCCUUUUUGUAUGUACCCUGAGAAUAAGGACCGGCUAAUUCCGUGCCAGCAGCCGCGGUAU